UGGGGAAUAUUGCACAAUGGGCGCAAGCCUGAUGCAGCGACGCCGCGUGAGGGAUGACGGCCUUCGGGUUGUAAACCUCUUUCAGUAGGGAAGAAGCGAGAGUGACGGUACCUGCAGAAGAAGCGCCGGCUAACUACGUGCCAGCAGCCGCGGUAAUACGUAGGGCGCAAGCGUUAUCCGGAUUUAUUGGGCGUAAAGAGCUCGUAGGCGGUUUGUCGCGUCUAUCGUGAAAGUCCGAGGCUCAACCUCGGAUCUGCGGUGGGUACGGGCAGACUAGAGUGAUGUAGGGGAGACUGGAAUUCCUGGUGUAGCGGUGAAAUGCGCAGAUAUCAGGAGGAACACCGAUGGCGAAGGCAGGUCUCUGGGCAUUUACUGACGCUGAGGAGCGAAAGCAUGGGGA
rnacentral:rRNA from 1 species